UACGUAGGGGGCAAGCGUUGUCCGGAUUUAUUGGGCGUAAAGAGCGCGUAGGCGGCCAGCUAGGUCAGCUGUGAAAACUCGAGGCUCAACCUCGAGACGCCGGUUGAAACCAUCUGGCUAGAGUCCGGAAGAGGAGAGUGGAAUUCCUGGUGUAGCGGUGAAAUGCGCAGAUAUCGUCAAGAACACCUAUGCGAAGGCAGCUCACUAAGCUUUAACUGACACUGAGGCACGAAAGUGUGGGGAUCAAACAGG
rnacentral:rRNA from 1 species